rnacentral:rRNA from 1 species
UUAAAUGCUAGCCUUCGGGGUCGCAUUGUAAUUUGUAAAGGAUGCUUUGGGUAAAACGCCAGUCUAAGUUCCUUGGAACAGGACGUCAUAGAGGGUGAGAAUCCCGUAUGUGACUGGAAAUGUUAACCUAUGUAAAGCUCCUUCGACGAGUCGAGUUGUUUGGGAAUGCAGCUCUAAAUGGGAGGUAAAUUUCUUCUUAAGCUAAAUAUUGGCGAGAGACCGAUAGCGCACAAGUAGAGUGAUCGAAAGAUGAAAAGCACUUUGGAAAGAGAGUUAAAAAGCACGUGAAAUUGUUGAAAGGGAAGCGCUUGCAAUCAGACUUGUUUAAACUGUUCGGCCGGUCUUCUGACCGGUUUACUCAGUUUUGGACAGGCCAGCAUCAGUUUCGGCGGCCGGAUAAAGGCUCUGGGAAUGUGGCCUCCACUUCGGUGGAGGUGUUAUAGCCCAGUGUGUAAUACGGCCAGCCGGGACUGAGGUCCGCGCUUCGGCUAGGAUGCUGGCGUAAUGGUUGUAAACGACCCGUCUUGAAACACGGACCAAGGAGUCUAACAUCUUAUGCGAGUGUUCGGGUGUCAAACCCCUGCGCGUAAUGAAAGUGAACGGAGGUGGGAACCGCAAGGUGCACCAUCGACCGAUCCUGAUGUCUUCGGAUGGAUUUGAGUAAGAGCAUAGCUGUUGGGACCCGAAAGAUGGUGAACUAUGCCUGU